UCCCAUUUAGCUCAGUUGGUAGAGCGCGUUACUGACAAUGACGAGUAGUCUGUCGUUCCAGUCGGUUACAAUAUCAGUAAUGGGAA
rnacentral:tRNA from 1 species